rnacentral:rRNA from 1 species
CAGGCUUAACACAUGCAAGUCGAGGGGCAUCAGGAAGAAAGCUUGCUUUCUUUGCUGGCGACCGGCGCACGGGUGAGUAACACGUAUCCAACCUGCCCUUUACUCGGGGAUAGCCUUUCAAAAGAAAGAUUAAUACCCGAUGGCAUAAUGAUUCCGCAUGGUUUCAUUAUUAAAGGAUUCCGGUAAAGGAUGGGGAUGCGUUCCAUUAGGUUGUUGGUGGGGUAACGGCUCACCAAGCCUUCGAUGGAUAGGGGUUCUGAGAGGAAGGUCCCCCACAUUGGAACUGAGACACGGUCCAAACUCCUACGGGAGGCAGCAGUGAGGAAUAUUGGUCAAUGGGCGCUAGCCUGAACCAGCCAAGUAGCGUGAAGGAUGAAGGCUCUAUGGGUCGUAAACUUCUUUUAUAUAAGAAUAAAGUGCAGUAUGUAUACUGUUUUGUAUGUAUUAUAUGAAUAAGGAUCGGCUAACUCCGUGCCAGCAGCCGCGGUAAUACGGAGGAUCCGAGCGUUAUCCGGAUUUAUUGGGUUUAAAGGGAGCGUAGGUGGACUGGUAAGUCAGUUGUGAAAGUUUGCGGCUCAACCGUAAAAUUGCAGUUGAUACUGUCAGUCUUGAGUACAGUAGAGGUGGGCGGAAUUCGUGGUGUAGCGGUGAAAUGUUUAGAUUUCACGAAGAAUUCCGAUUGAGGAAAGGCAGUUCACUGGACUGCAACUGACACUGAUGCUCGAAAGUGUGGGUAUCAAACAGGAUUAGAUACCCUGGUAGUCCACACAGUAAACGAUGAAUACUCGCUGUUUGCGAUAUACAGUAAGCGGCCAAGCGAAAGCAUUAAGUAUUCCACCUGGGGAGUACGCCGGCAACGGUGGAACUCAAAGGAAUUGACGGGGGCCCGCACAAGCGGAGGAACAUGUGGUUUAAUUCGAUGAUACGCGAGGAACCUUACCCGGGCUUAAAUUGCAGUGGAAUGAUGUGGAAACAUGUCAGUGAGCAAUCACCGCUGUGAAGGUGCUGCAUGGUUGUCGUCAGCUCGUGCCGUGAGGUGUCGGCUUAAGUGCCAUAACGAGCGCAACCCUUAUCUUUAGUUACUAACAGGUCAUGCUGAGGACUCCAGAGAGACUGCCGUCGUAAGAUGUGAGGAAGGUGGGGAUGACGUCAAAUCAGCACGGCCCUUACGUCCGGGGCUACACACGUGUUACAAUGGGGGGUACAGAAGGCAGCUAGCGGGUGACCGUAUGCUAAUCCCAAAAUCCUCUCUCAGUUCGGAUCGAAGUCUGCAACCCGACUUCGUGAAGCUGGAUUCGCUAGUAAUCGCGCAUCAGCCACGGCGCGGUGAAUACGUUCCCGGGCCUUGUACACACCGCCCGUCAAGCCAUGGGAGCCGGGGGUACCUGAAGUACGUAACCGCAGGGAUCGUCCUAGGGUAAAACUGGUGACUG